rnacentral:rRNA from 1 species
UACAGAGGUCUCAAGCGUUGUUCGGAUUCAUUGGGCGUAAAGGGUGCGUAGGCGGCGCGGUAAGUCGGGUGUGAAAUCUCGGAGCUUAACUCCGAAACUGGCAUUCGAUACUGCCGGUGCUUGAGGACUGGAGAGGAGACGUGGAAUUUACGGUGUAGCAGUGAAAUGCGUAGAUAUCGUAAGGAAGACCAGUGGCGAAGGCGGGUCUCGUGG